CCUACGGGGGGCUGCAGUGGGGAAUAUUGGACAAUGGGGGCAACCCUGAUCCAGCCAUGCCGCGUGUGUGAAGAAGGCCUUAUGGUUGUAAAGCACUUUAAGCGGGGAGGAGGGUACUGAUGCUAAUAUCAUCAAGUGCCGGACGUUACCCGCAGAAUAAGCACCGGCUAACUCUGUGCCAGCAGCCGCGGUAAUACAGAGGGUGCGAGCGUUAAUCGGAAUUACUGGGCGUAAAGCGCGCGUAGGCGGUUUAUUAAGUCGGAUGUGAAAUCCCC
rnacentral:rRNA from 1 species